GAUGAACGCUGGCGGCGUGCCUAAUACAUGCAAGUCGAACGAAACUUCUUUAUCACCGAGUGCUUGCACUCACCGAUAAAGAGUUGAGUGGCGAACGGGUGAGUAACACGUGGGCAACCUGCCCAAAAGAGGGGGAUAACACUUGGAAACAGGUGCUAAUACCGCAUAACCAUAGUUACCGCAUGGUAACUAUGUAAAAGGUGGCUAUACUACCGCCUUUGGAUGGGCCCGCGGCGCAUUAGCUAGUUGGUAGGGUAAAGGCUUACCAAGGCAAUGAUGCGUAGCCGAAGUGAGAGGUUGAUCGGCCACAUUGGGACUGAGACACGGCCCAAACUCCUACGGGAGGCAGCAGUAGGGAAUCUUCCACAAUGGGCGAAAGCCUGAUGGAGCAACGCCGCGUGGGUGAAGAAGGUCUUCGGAUCGUAAAACCCUGUUGUUAGAGAAGAAAGUGCGUGAGAGUAACUGUUCACGUUUCGACGGUAUCUAACCAGAAAGCCACGGCUAACUACGUG
rnacentral:rRNA from 1 species